GUGGGGAAUAUUGGACAAUGGGCGAAAGCCUGAUCCAACCAUGCCGCGUGUGUGAAGAAGGUCUUCGGAUUGUAAAGCACUUUAAGUUGGGAGGAAGGGCAGUAAGUUAAUACCUUGCUGUUUUGACGUUACCGACAGAAUAAGCACCGGCUAACUUCGUGCCAGCAGCCGCGGUAAUACGAAGGGUGCAAGCGUUAAUCGGAAUUACUGGGCGUAAAGAGCGCGUAGGUGGUUUUGUAAGUUGGAGGUGAAAUCCCCGGGCUCAACCUGGGAACUGCCUACAAAACUGCAUGACUAGAGUACGGUAGAGGGUAGUGGAAUUUCCUGUGUAGCGGUGAAAUGCGUAGAUAUAGGAAGGAACACCAGUGGCGAAGGCGACUACCUGGACUGAUACUGACACUGAGGUGCGAAAGCGUGGGGAGCAAACAGGAUUAGAUACCCGGGUAGUCC
rnacentral:rRNA from 1 species